rnacentral:rRNA from 1 species
UACGAAGGGUGCAAGCGUUACUCGGAAUUACUGGGCGUAAAGCGUGCGUAGGCGGUUUGUUAAGUCCGUUGUGAAAUCCCCGGGCUUAACCUGGGAAUGGCAUUUGGGACUGCAAGGCUUGAGUGCGGCAGAGGAGACUGGAAUUCCUGGUGUAGCAGUGAAAUGCGUAGAUAUCAGGAGGAAUACCGAUGGCGAAGGCAGGUCUCUGGGCUGACACUGACGCUCAUGCACGAAAGCGUGGGGAGCAAACAGG